AGCCGAGAUAGGAGAACGGAAUAAGUUGACGGUGCGAAAGGCUUUGCCUGAUUCGAACAGAUGUGUCAGGAAGUCCAACACCGAUUUCACAGGGGCUGAUACAGGAUCCAACGAUCGUUCCAAGCACCAAUUGGCCCACUGUAUCCAGGCCGCAGCAUAUGCAUGUCGUGUUCCAGGCGCCCAUGCGUUUGCCAGGAGUUGCAUAGUUGUGCUCGAAAC